CAAAUUUGAAAUCUGGCUCCUCGCGGGGUCCGAGUUGUAAUUUGUAGAGGAUGCUUCGGGUGCGGCACUGGUCUAAGUCCCUUGGAACAGGGCGUCAUAGAGGGUGAGGAUCCCGUAUGUGACCGGCGACCAAGCCCAUGUGAAGCUCCUUCGACGAGUCGAGUUGUUUGGGAAUGCAGCUCAAAAUGGGUGGUAAAUUUCAUCUAAAGCUAAAUACCGGCCAGAGACCGAUAGCGCACAAGUAGAGUGAUCGAAAGAUGAAAAGCACUUUGGAAAGAGAGUCAAAAAGUACGUGAAAUUGUUGAAAGGGAAGCGCUUGUAACCAGACCUGCCGUCGGGUGUUCCGCGGGCAUUCGUUGCCCGUCUACUCACCCGCGAUCAGGCCAGCAUCGGUUCGGGCGGCCGGAUAAAGACUCGAGGAAUGUAGCUUCGCUUCGGGGAAGUGUUAUAGCCUCCUGUGCAAUACGGCCAGCCGGGACCGAGGACCGCGCUUCGGCUAGGAUGCUGGCGUAAUGGUUGCAAGCGACCCGUCUUGAAACACGGACCAAGGAGUCUAACAUCUAUGCGAGUGUUUGGGUGUCAAACCCAUGCGCGGAAUGAAAGUGAACGGAGGUGGGAACCCUUAAGGGCGCACCAUCGACCGAUCCGGAAGUUUACGGAUGGAUUUGAGUAUGAGCAUAGCUGUUGGGACCCGAAAGGUAUAGUCGUCCCUCUUUAUCUCCCUCUGGAUUUAUGCUAACGUGCGUAAUAGAUGGUGAACUAUGCCUGAAUAGGGUGAAGCCAGAGGAAACUCUGGUGGAGGCUCGCAGCGGUUCUGACGUGCAAAUCGAUCGUCAAAUUUGGGUAUAGGGGCGAAGUAAGCACCCCCCUCUCCACCGACUUCGCGGAACAAAGUACUAACAGAUUCUUACAGAGACUAAUCGAACCAUCUAGUAGCUGGUUCCUGCCGAAGUUUCGUGAGUUCCUCCCUGGAGACCCCUUAGUGAACCCGUGCUAACAAUCUCAAUAGCCUCAGGAUAGCAGUAACGUUUUCAGUUUUAUGAGGUAAAGCGAAUGAUUAGAGGCCUGGGGGAUGAAACAUCCUUCACCUAUUCUCAAACUUUCAAUAUGUAAGAAGUCCUUGUUACUUAGUUGAACGUGACAUUUGAAUGUACCGUUACUAGUGGGCCAUUUUUGGUAAGCAGAACUGGCGAUGCGGGAUGAACCGAACGUGGGGUUAAGGUGCCGGAAUGUACGCUCAUCAGACACCAAGGGGAAGAGACUUGUGGUGUCUGGCCGGGGGAAGAACCCCCGGCGUUAGUCUGCGAAAGGCGAGGUCUUUGACCUGUAGGGGUCGGCGGUCGCUCCGGCGGCGGCCCACCCUCUGCUGUCCCUCUGCUGGGGCAGCUCACAGAUCAAGCAAAGGCCGGCGGCCGAGCGCCGUUGGAGAUAUGAUCGGCCCCCGGAGG
rnacentral:rRNA from 1 species